rnacentral:lncRNA from 1 species
AUUACAGCGAGAAAGGAGAACUUGGACCAAUUGCUGCAGCAAGAGUUGACCAGAUUACAGCUGAAUUGCAAUCAUCAGAUGGCAGCAAACCAUUCGACCCUGUUGAGCACAUGAAAGCUGGCUUUAUUCACUUCAAAACUGAGAAAUAUGAGUAAGCUAAUUCAUUUUCUUCAAAUUAAAAUUUCUGCCUAAUAUUUCAAGAACAAAUAAUUUCGAAUAAUUAGUUCCUGAUAAUUCAAUUUUUUCUUUCAUUAUAUAUUAUCAGGAAAAACCCAGCCUUAUAUGGAGAACUAUCAAAAGGCCAGAGCCCCAAGGUACAAAUUCAUGCUACUGUGUCAAUUUAUUGUCAACAAUUGGUUCCUCCUUUUAAAAUUAAACUAGUCUGGGUUGUCCAAUAGGGCUUAGUUUAGGUGUCUAAAUGAAAAAUUCGGACAAGUUUAAGUGUCUGUCUGUAUUGACUCUUAUAAGUCCAAGUUCGAUAGCUGAUGAUUGCUAUUGCCAUCUAUGUGUAACAG